GGCUUGACGGUACCGUACGAAUAAGGAUCGGCUAACUCCGUGCCAGCAGCCGCGGUAAUACGGAGGAUCCAAGCGUUAUCCGGAAUCAUUGGGUUUAAAGGGUCCGUAGGUGGGCCGUUAAGUCAGAGGUGAAAUCCUGCAGCUCAACUGUAAAACUGCCUUUGAUACUGGCGGCCUUGAAUUACUGGGAAGUGAUUAGAAUAUGUGGUGUAGCGGUGAAAUGCUUAGAUAUCACAUAGAACACCGAUUGCGAAGGCAGAUCACUAACCUUAUAUUGACACUGAUGGACGAAAGCGUGGGGAGCGAACAGGAUUAGAUACCCUGGUAG
rnacentral:rRNA from 1 species